rnacentral:misc_RNA from 1 species
GUUUGCUUCAAAGUGAUAUUAGUUGGUAAUCAUGUAUAGCUCUAUAUAUAAGUAUUUAGUUUUUUCAUCCUUGACUUUAGAAAUUGCUCUUACACAAAGACCACAAUGUACUCAGGAAUAUGGUGUUACGUCUUUUCCGGAUGAGCAAUACUGUGAUAAGUAUCACCUGUGUGUAAACGGUACAUAUUCUUAUGAAACAUGUGCAAAUGGACUUGUUUAUGACAAAAAUGGGAAUAUUUUCAAACAUUGCAACUAUAAUUGGGCGAUUGAUUGUAAAAAUCUGAUAUAUGAUGAAACACCAAUUUCUUCUCCUGGUUGUCUUUAUCAGUAUGGUAUAUACCCUGUUGGCUUGGGAUGUCAGACAACAUUUUUCAAGUGCGCUGAUGGAACAGCAUAUGAAACUGCGUGUCAUAAAGGACUUGCUUAUGAUCCUGAAAAACAUGUAUGUGAGUUUCCUGACAAUGUUUAUGAAUGCGCCAAUCAAUCAGAAUCUGUUGUUGGGUUCAAAUGUCCCUCUCCUAGUGAAUUACCCCGAAACGCAGUAGCUCGAAGUACCCAACACUUGAGGAAUUCGAUAUAAAGAAAUCUUUAUAAAUAAUAGCAUUUCAAUGGAGGAAGAAAAUUGAAAAAAGACGUGACAAGAGAUGUGAAAAUGCACACAUUUUAAAACUUGUCAGGAGACAAUUGUAUAAUUUGUAGGUACAACAUAUAACUUGGAUAUGAUCAGAGAUUCAAAUAAUAUUAUAUACCGGUAUUUAAAAAAAAGAAACUGAAAAUUAACGAGGUCACCCUCACAAUUUAAAAAAUGUUUGGGAGGUGAGGAGCGUAGCUAUCAUUACCUUUUAUUACAUUAGACAAGAACAGCUAUGAGGGAAAAACACAAAUCCCACUCCGUACCAAGCAAUGAUAUGGGCAUGAAUUACAACGAUAUCGAUCCUCAAUUCUACUCAAAGUCGAAUUAGGACUUACACAUAUAUCUCUACAAAAAUCUUCAAAAUUCCUCCUCGUCUUUCAGAUUUUUGCCAUUUCCAAGAUUUCCAAACCCAAUGGAUGAUAGUUCCUACAUCGUUUGUGUAAAUGGAAAACCCCGAAUGAACAAUUGUGGAGAUAAAUUCGUGUUUGAUCAUCAAACAUUAUCUUGUAUUUUUAGAAAUUGAACAUACAAAUAAAUUAUCUAUUUAGUUAAAAUAA